CAGUGGCAGAGCUCCUUGCUGGACUCCCCUUUAAUAAACCACCUUUAACCCUGCUCAGGAGAGAGUCGACCCUUUGUCCGUCACCGCAGUCUUGACACCAUCAGGUCCAGCCGCCGGUGUGGGGAACCAAGACCCCACAGGGAGGAGGUUGCUCGCCCUGCCUGCAACCCUGACCGAUCCGCGUUAGCCGCAGUGCAGGACUGAGCUAGCCUGUGGUCAGCGCCUGCUAGGCGUGAGGGACACUGUGACAAAUGUUUAUUUAGCAGGGCUUUGAAUCUAAUCUGCCACAAUGCCUUUGUUGGGGCAUUUUGGUCCAGAUGAAUGGACUACCAGCCUGGAGAUGGAGAGUUGGAACAGAUGACCUCCAGAGAACUUUUCUAACCAGAGGCAUAGAAUCAUGUUGUGCUUUCCAGUGGUGACAAGCAGUUCCAUGUUUCUUAAGGUGAUGAUGAGACUGGGCUUGUCAUGAUUUUGAAAAGCUCUUCCUGCCAAACACAAAUUUAAAUAGAAUGGAUUGAAAGAUAGAAGUUUGAAGGGAAUGUAUUUAACAAAUGAAUGAAUAACCAAAUAUAUUCAAAAGAUGUGAUCUCCGAAACCCUAUAAACAGAAAUUUUCCAAUAGGAAGACUUCAACAUUUGAAAGGGAAAACAAUUAAAUCACCUUUAUUUUUCAUCUGAUUCCUCUGUGAAUUUAGCUAGUCC